AGAAAUUUUUUUAAAAUUUUAAACUCUAAAUUAUGUAGAGCGUAUCAAGGGGAGAGAUUCAAAAUUCAAAAUGAAAUCUCCAAGUUCGGUUGGCACUCUCUCUCAAAAAACCCUGUAUACUCCUCAUAGACUAAAUCCAGAUCAUCAAGGGCCACGGUGACAAAAAAAGAGAAAGAAAAGCAACAAAUCUGGAGGGGAUAAACUGAUGUAAGUUGUUCAUGUGAGGGUAAAGAGAGGGAAAUUUUCAUUGGACUAUCUUUCGUUCUUCACAUACAUGAGAUUCUAUUUUGAGAUUUUGAAGAUUACACAGGUAUGUCUUGCUUUUACAAGAACCCUAAUUACAAAAGUUGUAGCUUUUGAGGUGAUUGAUGUAGGUGGCUGCAAAGAUUUUGAAUGGUAAGGAACCAGAGUUCUGCAAAUGGGAUGGUGAUCUUUCACAAUUGUUGUAAAAUGUUAAUGAGAAGUUGAACAUGGUUGCUGAGGUAAUUUUAGAGUCAAGAUGAAUUAUUUUUUAUUUUGACUUUUAAAGCACAUAUUACAUCUGUUAUCUUCGGUUGAAUUUGCUUUAGAUAUGUACUUGAUCUUGCAACUCUAGGAUUUAAAAUUGCAGUCGGAAGUUUUAACUUAUCUCCAGAUCGUGGACCUUCAUAAAAAGCUUGAUUUUUUGUUGAAGAAUAUGUAGCUGAUUAUCUAGGUUUGAUGGAUGGUUUAUUUGAAGCAAAUCAACGUAAUGUCAAAAGGGUAAAUCACACCAGGGAGCUUCCUCAAAACAACAAAAUGGUAGCCAUACAUACAGACAAUCUUGAUGUUCUUAUCAUGGAUGUUGAAGCUCAGCCCAUCAUGAUUCUGUCAGCAAAUUUGAUUCAACAUUUUCCGUCUUGGUGUAUGAGAAGAUGAAGCUGAGAAUCAGCCAGUGUAUUCGUUCUCUGGAAAUAUCAGAUGCAGAUGCAGUGGUGGAUGAUCCUGAUGAUGAAAAAAAUGAUAGGAGGACGCUCGGAUGGUGGAUACUUUAAAGGAAUUUGUUGUGAAUAUCGACGCUUGCGAUGGUGGAAAUCAACUUGCAAUGGUUCAGUAUGUUAAAGAUCCUUAUGCUAAUUAUAGAAAGAUGGAGGUAUACGGCUCCGUUGAUUUAAAAAGUCAAACCAUGCACAUUACUUGAUGCUAAAAAUGUAUGUUUUAAUUUAAUUAAAAAUAUUUUGGUUUCUUUUAGUGGCAUUGCUACUUUGUGCCU